GAGCGAACUUUUGAGAGCUUGCUCUCAAAGUUAGCGGCGGACGGGUGAGUACACGUGGGCACCUGCCUGUAAGACUGGGAUAACUUCGGGAAACCGGAGCUAAUACCAGAUAAUUCUUAUCAACUCAUGUUGAUAAGCUGAAAGACGGUUUCGGCUGUCACUUACAGAUGGGCCCGCGGCGCAUUAGCUAGUUGGUGAGGUAAUGGCUCACCAAGGCAACGAUGCGUGGCCGACCUGAGAGGGUGAUCGGCCACACUGGGACUGAGACACGGCCCAGACUCCUACGGGAGGCAGCAGUAGGGAAUCUUCCGCAAUGGACGAAAGUCUGACGGAGCAACGCCGCGUGAGUGAUGAAGGUUUUCGGAUCGUAAAACUCUGUUGUUAGGGAAGAACAAGUACGAGAGUAACUGCUCGUACCUUGACGGUACCUAACCAGAAAGCCACGGCUAACUACGUGCCAGCAGCCGCGGUAAUACGU
rnacentral:rRNA from 1 species